rnacentral:sRNA from 1 species
AUGUUGAAAGGGGAAAGGAACCCAAUCAACAAAUAUAAUGCGAGUAAGGAAUCGCA